UUGUUUUUAUCCUUUUUCCCAUCCUCUCUCUUUUCUCCCUUAAUUUCCACAAGUCAAAAAUGAUGUGCAGAAGAUUGUCCCAUUCUUCUUAGUUGGUGAUAGUUAUGGUACAUUUAAAACCAUCCCACAUGUUAGCCACCUCCCCCAUGGAACACAACUUUAAUAUCUCCUCUUUUAAUUACUCAUUUAUCCGAUUAAUUGCUCAUUUGACCAUUUAUAAAUUUAACAUUUUAC
rnacentral:lncRNA from 1 species